CCAAACAUUUAUAAAAACCCAUGUUCAUAAUGUAAUACUCCGUACUUAUAUUUCUUAAUUAUAUUAAUUGCGAAUAAUAAAAUCCUAAUUUCACCCUAAAAUUACGUAAUUGGUGAAAUUAAAUAUCUGUACUUGAGUUCUAAGAAAAAAAUAUCCAGCUGCCCGUCAAAUUUUUGAAAUUCAAGUUUAUCGUUUGAUCAAUUUCGAAGAUAAGAAAAUAAGAUAAAUUUUUGAAAGGCGGCGAUCAUUGUUUACAUCUCAAUCAAGGCGAGUUUACUUUUAUAGCUACAUUGUUCAAGCAUCUGGGUAUACAUUUGAAGUAUUACUCUGAAGAAUCCUCAUUCGAGUCUCUUCUGAUUCGGGUUUCUUUGGUUAGAGACCUUUGGAGGAGACAACGGUGCUGGCUUGGUAGAUCAUUCUAGAGCUUGAAUGCAAUUAUUGCUUGCUGCUGAAACUGGGAUUUGGCAUUUGAUGCGGGAAUUGUUGUUUGUGUAUGGGAAGUUUGAAUUGUUUCCUUGACAAUCUUUUUCUUGGAUUAAUUACUCCUUAGUUUUUAGGCGAAUUUGAGUUCGUUCAUUCUCAAGGCAUUGCCCUUUUGAUGUUGGAUGGCCAACAGGUCAUUGUGCAUCAAAAUGUGCAUUGCAGAAUGAGUUGGGAAAGAGGAUUUUCAGUAAAUGGACGAGUCAAACAAGAAAGACUUUGAUCUAUUUGCCUUUCUGAAAUCUUGGUUUCCGUGGCAGAACAAAUCUGCAAAUGUCCCGAGGGACUUUUGGAUGCCUGAUCAUAGUUGUAGGGUAUGCUAUGAUUGUGAUGCCCAGUUCACAGUAUUCAAUCGUAGGCACCAUUGCAGGAUUUGUGGCAGAAUCUUUUGUGGAAAAUGUACAGCAAAUUCAGUUCCAGCUAAUAGUCUCAAACCCAGUACUUUGCUGGAUGAGUGGGAGAAGGUAAGGGUUUGCAACUAUUGUCUCAAAGAAUGGGAGCAAGGUUCCACUAGUAUUGGUCGUGGAGCUCACCAAGUUACAGAGCGUUGUAGCGAUACCAGCUCAAGGCCCAGUGAAUCUGGUUAUGAUAGCACUAUUACUAUUUGUUCAAUGUCAUUUGGUAUCUGUGAACAAUCUUCUGAUUGCCUUUCUCAUAGUCCAUAUCAAUCAGCAUUGAUGGAUCCGUCUGUAGAUGUUCUGGGCACAGAUGGAUCAGGAAGGAGCAAUUAUACUGCCCCCUAUGCAGAUGAUUCAUCUCUAAAUCAAUGUGCAUCGGGUACAAACAGGAGUGAUGAUGAUGACGACAAUGAUGAUCUCUUUGAUGUUUAUGAUAUGGAUUCAAACUCAACGCGUUGUUCACAGGCUAAUGACUACUAUGGUCCAUUGGAAUUCAAUGCGAUGCAAAAUGCCUAUGAGUCACAAAAUCAUGUUCCUGAUAUGGAUUUUGGUGACACAAAUUGCUUUAGUAGCUCUGGUUUUCAGGGAAGUUAUGACUUGCAAGAUUAUGAUGAACACCAACAGGUUAGGAAGAAGGAAGAUAAUGGUUUUGGCGAUGAAUGCGAAGCACCCUCAUCUAUGUGCACUGUUGAGGAUGUUAGCAGUGAGCCUGUUGAUUUUGAAAACAACGGACUUCUUUGGAUUCCGCCUGAACCUGAGAAUGAAGAGGAUGAUAGAGAUGCUGGCUUGUUUGAUGAUGAUGAUGAUGAUGCCUCAGGAGAGUGGGGUUAUUUGCGCACUUGUAGCAGUUUCGGAAGUGGUGAGUGUCGUGAAAAGGAGAGGUCUGGUGAAGAGCAGAAGAAGGCCUUGAAGAAUGUAGUCGAUGGGCAUUUUAGGGCUCUAGUAUCACAACUUCUGCAGGUUGAAAACAUUCCAGUUACUGAAGAUGAUGUCAGAGAGAAUUGGUUAGAAAUUAUUACUGGUCUUUCCUGGGAGGCUGCUACACUUCUAAAGCCUGACACAAGCAGAGGUGGGGGGAUGGAUCCUGGUGGUUAUGUGAAGGUGAAGUGCAUAGCCAGUGGACGUCGCUCUGAGAGUAUGGUUGUCAAAGGAGUUGUGUGCAAAAAAAAUGUGGCCCAUCGUCGGAUGACUACAAGAAUUGAGAAACCUCGUCUCAUGAUCCUUGGUGGAGCUCUUGAAUAUCAGCGGGUUUCCAAUUUGCUGUCAAGUUUUGAUACUCUUCUACAGCAGGAAACGGAUCAUUUGAAGAUGGCAGUUGCAAAGAUUGGUGCUCAUCAUCCUAACGUCUUGUUGGUAGAGAAGUCAGUUUCUCGACAUGCACAAGAAUACAUUCUUGAAAAGGAUAUCUCUCUUGCUCUCAAUAUCAAAAGACCACUUCUUGAGCGUAUAGCACGCUGUACAGGAGCUCAAAUAGUUCCCUCAAUCGAUAAUCUUUCUGCUCAAAAGAUGGGGCAUUGCGGCCUUUUUCAUGUGGAGAAGUGUUUUGAAGAUCAUGGCUCUGCUGGUCAAGAUGGGAAAAAAUUGACAAAGACAUUGAUGUACUUUGAAGAUUGCCCAAAGCCCCUGGGUUUCACAAUUUUACUUAGAGGUGCAAAUGUAGAUGAAUUGAAGAAAGUGAAGCAUGUGGUGCAAUAUGGAGUUUUUGCUGCGUAUCACUUGGCUCUGGAGACAUCUUUUCUUGCAGAUGAAGGGGCUUCCUUACCUGAGCAUCUAUUUAACGAAUCAAUAGCUGUAGCACUUCCAAAUAAAUCCUUAAGUACUGAACGGUCUAUUUCAACAGUACCCGGUGUUGCAGUUUCUGCACAUGGAAAGCAAGAAAACUUUGGGAAGCCUGAAGUAAUAAAUGCUAUUGCUACUGCCUUACUAAGCGGUACUGACAUGCAUAAUUCAGAACUGACAAAGUCAUUGUCUUUACCUUUAAGCACCAUCAUUCAAAAUGCUGGAUCUACGUUUAGCUGCAGUAGUUUCAAUAGUAAACCGUCAAACUAUAUGUCUAAGCUUUGUUGUGAUGGGGUUGCUUCUCAAUCAGCAGCUGACAAGGAAAUGCCUAUAGGGGACUUUAUGCAUCGAGAUGCUUCUUCAGUUAUUUAUGAUGAACUGUCACAUGCUCACCCUAAAGAAGAGAUUUCUGGCUCACCAGAGUCGAAGGAGCAUGCAUCUAUUGCUGAGGAUGCCUGUAAUACUAACACUAUUACUGGCUUAGUUGAGACAGAAGUUUCUGAGUCUAUCUCUGGGCAACAAGAUGCUAAAAGUAUUAUCCAAACCGAGCCUGAAUCAUCAGAAAUGCAAUUUCCUCCAACAUCAUCGGAUGUUCAGAACAUCUUAGUUUCCUUGUCAUCACGAUGUGUGUGGAAGGGGACAGUGUGUGAAAGGUCUCACUUGGUUAGGAUCAAAUACUAUGGAAGUUUUGAUAAACCUUUAGGCCGGUUUUUGCAAGAUGAUUUAUUUGAUCAGAGCUACAGGUGCCGGUCCUGUGAUAUGCCCUCUGAUGCACAUGUUCAUUGUUACACUCAUCGGCAAGGCACACUCACAAUUUCAGUUAAGAAGUUACCAGAGAUUCUUUUGACUGGAGAGAGAGAAGGAAAGAUAUGGAUGUGGCACAGGUGUUUGCGUUGUCCAAGGAUUAGUGGUUUCCCUCCUGCCACUCGGAGAGUUGUGAUGUCAGAUGCUGCAUGGGGAUUGUCAUUUGGGAAAUUUUUAGAGCUUAGCUUUUCAAAUCAUGCAGCAGCAAGCAGGGUUGCUAGUUGUGGUCACUCUUUACACAGGGAUUGUCUUCGAUUCUAUGGAUGUGGUAAAAUGGUCGCUUGCUUCCGUUAUGCGUCAAUCGAUGUUUAUUCAGUAUACCUUCCACCUGCUAAAGUUGAUUUUACCUAUGGGGCUCAGGAUUGGGUACAGAAUGAAGCAUAUGAGGUUAUUGAACGAGCAGAUUCCUUGUUUUCUGAGGUGCAAAAUGCCAUCUGGCAAAUUGCAGAAAAAAAGUAUGGUGGAUUGUGUCCUGGAACAAUAUCUUCUGAAUCAAGUCUUGCAGAACUUGAAGUACUUCUACAGAAUGAGAAGACAGAGUUUGAGGAAACGCGUCAAAGAUUGUCUAACAAGGAGGUUCAUCCAUCUCAAGAUAUUCUGGAGAUUAAUCGAUUAAGGAAGCAGCUGCUCUUCCGGUCUUUCUUGUGGGACCACCGCCUUGUUAAUGCUGCCAAGGAAGGCAAUCAAGAUGGAGAAAAAGCUGUUCCUUGUGAUUUCAUGGGGAUAGGCAUUCUCACAAAAUCAAACAAUGCUGUUACAAAUGGUGAAGCUCUCCCUGCGGACCAAAAAAUUAUUAGGAAUUGUAAUCUGGAAGGAGCUAGGACUUUUGUGAAACCACUAGAUACAGCUUUUAAAACUAGAGCUAGUCCAGAACGUACUUAUGACUUUGAAGACCAAGCUGAUCCCUCCAUUUGCACCGAGACUGAGAAUUAUGUACCUCUUGACCCAUUGGAGUGCGGAUCUACUGUUCGAAGGGCAGUAUCUGACAGUCAGUUUCUAAAUCUGUCAGAUACCCUUGAUGCUGCCUGGACGGGUAAUACUCAGCCGGGGGUUGGAAUACCAAAAGAAAACAGCUUGAUAUUGACGGGGUCUGUUUCAGUGGAUUCUUCAUUGGCAGCUAUGGCAGAGAGGUUGGCACUGGAGAUCCGAGCAGAAGAAAUAGGUGUUCCCGCCAAGGCAACAUCAUUGGCAGCUAUGGCAGAGAGGUUGGCACUGGAGAUCCGAGCAGAAGAAAUAGGUGUUCCCGCCAAGGCAACAUCAUCGUCUUCACCAAUUGCAUCUACCAACUCGAAAGGCUCAGAUAGUGCUGAAGACAACAUAAGCUGGUUGGGGAUGCCUUUUCUCAAUUUUUAUCGCUCCUUGAAUAAUAACUUUCUUGGAAAUGCUCAAAAGUUUGAGGCAUUAGGUGGGUAUAACUCCAUGUACAUAUCAUCAGCUCGGGAGUUAGGUGGGGCCAAGUGGCUUCUGCCUGAAGGUCCGAAUGAGACUAUUAUUCCAGUUUAUGAUGAUGAGCCAACCAGUAUAAUUUCUUAUGCGUUGAUAUCACAGGAUUAUCACACUCAAUUAUCUGAUGAUGGGGAAAGACCAAAAGAUAUUGAGUCUGCAUCUUCAUUGCCACUGCAAGAAUCAGCCAGCUAUCAUCAUUUUGUUUCACAUGAUGACUCUUUAAACGAAUCAAAUAGAAGUCUUUCAAUUGAUGACAUCAUCUCAUCCACAUCGGUAGCACUCAGUCCCUUCAUGUCCGAUCCGCUUUUGUACACAAAGUCAUUGCAUAUAAGAGUUACUUUUACUGUUAAUGGCCCUGUAGAUAAAAUGAAAUAUACUGUUACUUGUUACUGUGGGAAGCAUUUCGACGCCUUGAGGAAAAUUUGUUGUUCAUCUGAGCUGGAUUUUGUUAGAUCACUGAGUCGCUGUAAGAAAUGGGGAGCACAGGGUGGUAAAAGCAAUGUCUUUUUCGCAAAAACUUUGGAUGAUAGGUUUAUCAUCAAACAGGUCACGAAAACAGAGCUUGAAUCAUUUAUAAAAUUUGCUCCCGAGUACUUUAAGUAUCUAAUGGAAGCAAUUGACACAAACAGCCCCACAUGCUUAGCAAAAAUUUUGGGUAUCUAUCAGAUUACCACAAAGAAUCUCAAAGGAGGUAAGGAAACAAAGAUGGAUGUUUUGGUGAUGGAGAAUCUUUUGUUUAGAAGAAAUGUGACAAAGCUUUAUGAUCUGAAAGGAUCCUCAAGAUCACGAUACAAUCCAGAUUCCAGUGGGAGUAAUAAGGUCCUUUUAGAUCAAAACCUUAUUGAAGCAAUGCCUACCUCCCCAAUUUUUGUUGGCAACAAGGCAAAGCGCUUAUUGGAGAGAGCUGUGUGGAAUGACACCAAUUUUCUUGCUUCUGUGGAUGUAAUGGAUUAUUCCUUAUUGGUUGGAGUGGAUAAAGAGAAGCAUGAACUAGUUCUGGGGAUCAUUGAUUUUAUGAGACAAUAUACUUGGGAUAAACAUUUGGAAACAUGGGUCAAGGCUUCUGGCAUUCUUGGCGGUCCAAAAAAUGUAUCUCCAACUGUCAUUUCACCCAAGCAGUAUAAGAAAAGGUUCCGGAAAGCCAUGACUACAUAUUUUCUCAUGGUCCCUGAUACUUGGUCUCCGCCUACUAUUAUAUCGUCAAGCCAGUCGCAAACCAGCCUUUGUGAAGAGAAACCUCAAGGUGGCUCGUGAAUCCAUUGAAGUCUGUAAAUUGGAAUUUAGUAGGUCGAAAAAGGUAACUUCAAGAUAAAAUCUCCACCAUAGUUUUUCAUUUACUUGAUUCACCAAAUUUUCCCGUAUCUCAUUUUUUUUUUUUUUUGUAGAGAAAUUUGAUUUUAGUCUUAUUAGAAAGCUAUAGAUCAUAUUAUUUGUGAAAAGAAGAUGCAUGAAAGAGGCAGACAGAAAAUUUGAAUGUCUCAUGGGGGGUAUAUAUUUUGAUCGCCAACCCCAUGUUGUAUAUUUUCCUUUUAGAAAUUUUAACCCCCCUUUUUUUUGGGGUUCAUUAGCAUUACAAGCUGUAAUUGAAUUACACAUUUUUUUGGGAAGUGUAAAUUGUAAAGAGUUUCAUAUGAUUAGUCUUGAAGUUUGAUGAAUGUAUGGGGUUAAUUACCGUUGUGUCAUUGGUGCCAUUGAUGCAUUUCCAAGUGUGUACGCACUUUUUAAUGGUUGUUUUUGCCUUUCAAGUUGGGAUUGUUAAGAUGCUUAGAUUCCAUCCCUUAUUCCAUUGAUAAUUUGCUCCUAAUUCUUAUUUGGAAUGAGAAUUAACUAGAUGUAGCAUCCUAAAUAAUAGUUUAUCUCACUUUUUCUUUCUUAACGAGGUAUGAUAGGUUAAUCUCGAGAUAUCCGUGGCUUCAGCCCGAAGGUGUCAUGUACCUUCACUUCGUCCUACAGAAGGGUCCUACAACAACAGUCUUGAGACGAGAAUAGAAACCGCGACCAUGAAGGUGAAACGUGGAAGGGAUUGCCAUCACUUCUUGCUUGUACUUCGGUUGAAACAACCAACAAAGGUGCAUUGUUUUGUUGAAUAUAUGAAAAAAUAAAAUAUGACUACUAAGUCUAUAAUUUUCCUGCAUUCAAAACAUUACAACAGAACCAGAAAUUAACCAGCACUUAAUUAGGCAUGAAUUGGCUCACGAUGUGGGGAGAUGAUGUUCAACCUCAAAGGAGGAAAUGCAGAAAGGUAUUUUGAGUUUAAUUCCAUGCAUUGACUUUGAAGAUCAGAUGCAGAUUAGCAGGUUAACAGAUCAUGUAAAUAUUAGAAACUAGUAAGAGAGCUACAGAGGAAGAGUUGAAGCUUGUAUUCUUGGCUCAAUUGCUCAAUUAUACAUGCAGGAAACAGAGCUAGUUGUAAAAAAGCUCUGAUAUGGACAUAGAUGACUGAUUGUACUAGAGUUGUAAUCUAUACUAAUUCGACGAAUUUCAUCAAUAUAUUGUAGAUUUGUAGUUUAAUAUAA